AGUGUCAACCUGAUGCAGCUGAGAUACGUCGAGGUUGAGUGCACACUAUUUUACAUGCCUCCCCCUUACCCCACAUAUGGUCCAAAAUAAACUGUGGGACCUGAAUCAUAUUUUUCAAAAAGAGAACAUUAUCAAACAUAGUUACAGAAAGUAAUAAUAUUAAGUCUAGUUUUAAAAGAUUAAUGCUAUGCUACAUUAAGCAGGAAAAACUAGUCCACAGUGCAAAGAAAACAUCAAGAAAUGUUAAAAGCAUGUCAUAUACAUCCUGAAAUGACUGAUGAACACAAGCGGACUAAUGAAGCUUGUCAUAAAAAACAAAUAAUCUAAUGAGUAUAAAAAACUAAUCAAGAUUCAUAACUCUCAAUUAUAACAAUGAUAUUGCACUCUUGAACAUGCAUGUCCACAAAUAUGCAAGAUCAGUUCAAGUCUUGAUACUCCAUGCUCUCCCUUCUUUUGUAAUUUUUAAAAAUCCAAAAAGUGACAUCCACAGGGCUCCGUAUAGAAGCUUGCAAGUAAAGGUACCAAAUUUCCUAUGCAGGCAGGUUUUUAAAUGGUAAAAUCAACCAGAAUAUGUUAACAGUAUAGACAAUGAUAUCCAUGCAACUUAUGUCACUAUCAAGACCAAGGAAAGGAAAAAAAGAUGUUGCCAUAUAAAGAACAAAAUAAAUUAAAUGGACUUCUUUUGAAACAGAACCAGACAACUUAUUAUAAAUAUACCAUAAAGAAGACAAAGCAAAGAAAUCAUAACCUGUGUGGUCUUUCCGCACCCAGUCUCACCAGAUAUAAGAAUUACCUGCUUUCAAAUAGGAGAUUAACAAUAAGUCCCCGAAGUUGAGAAGGAAUCCAUUCAAUUCAAACAAAGGUUCAAUGAAGUAGCAAAACAGAGUUUCUAGUAACGAGUAACAGACCCCACUAUGUUGAGAUAAGGACACAUCGCAUAUCUAAUUGAUACUAGGAAAUUUCAAAAAUAAUAUCACGCAUAAUGUGAUCUGCCGCGUGAACAACUAGCUAAUAAUUUCAAACACCAAUCAUGUGAAUGUUCAAAUUAACCUGAUGAGAUUCAACUGCUGAUGUAAUGACAUCCCUGUAGGAUGUAAUUGGAAGCUUAGACUUCUCUUUGGUGAUCUGCACGCAUAAAUUCACAGAAACCUGUCAUGCUGAGCCUAUUAUUAUGCAAAAACUAUGACUUAAAAUGAUGUAGAUGAUAAUAGAGGUGCAUCAUCUGUUAAAUCAGAAGAACCUUUCUCAAUUUAUCGGAAUUCUUUAUUCUAGAAGCAAGUGAUUGCACUUUCUUUGCAAUUUCUGCCUUGGUCAUCAAAGGCUUGCAAAACAUACUAUCUUUCUUCCGCUUGGCUUUCACAUUCUCAUUACUAUUUGUCCCAUACAUUUCUCUGCCCUCCACUUCAUCACCGGGUGGGUAACACAUGAACAAGUCCCUCAAUACUUCUUUUGUGCCUUCGGAAAAUGUCAGAUGAGUGAGCUUUGGAAUACCAUCAACGGCUGCAGCCUUCUUUUUAGGUUUAUAAACAGACACAACACGUUUUUUCCCACUCCUACAGAGUUCAGGUUUAUCAUCAGUUUAAAAAAACCUGUGCAGAUAAGAAAGCUGAAAUUUUCCUCUUUUGUUUUGGUGCCCAAAAAUAUGGAAGCAUGUAAGCUUCUCUUAAAUUAAAAUAUACAACAUUUUGGUCAUUAUCAACAAGACAUAACUACCAGCACUCACCCUUUACUCUUGGAUUUCAUACCCAUUUUCCUGCAUUGUUGAUGCACUUCAGCACGGUCAUGGUUCGAGAGACCGGCCUCAAAUGUGUAAACUGCAGGCAGAUUCCGAUAAUGUUAAAAAAACCAUUCAUACAAUGUGAAAAAUUAAACAAAAUCAAAUACUUGGUCCUUUUAAAUUCGCACCAAAUACCAAGUAAGUUCCUGAAACGCUCCUCCCGACAAAAUAAAAAGGAAGCAAACAUGGAUUCAGAUCGCAUUAAAGUAUUAAAUUUCAUUAGCACCCAGUUUUAAGCCAUGACUUUAUUCAAACACUUCACCUUCGUCAUCAGCGGAAUUGAAGCGGGAGAGUAAUUGAGCUAUUCGGUUCCUCAUGCUUUCUGGAACUUUACUGUUUUGUUGUUGGCCGCCUCUGUUCUUCUUCGCCAUGUCUAUUGCUUCUUCCUUUGGCUCUGGUCCUCUUCCCUUUUGUCUGUUCGUUAAAUUCCGAAUCUGAAGCAGCCGUUGGCGCCCAGAGGAAUGUAAAGCUUUGAAGAAGAAGAAGAAGAAGACGAGAUUCAGUGGAGUUGUCGAAGAUUUGGGUCUCGCUCUCCUCUGCCCUGAAUAGUCGGCGUCUGCUAUGAAAAUGGAGUUUUCAGUUCUGCUAUGUGUUUCGUAAAUUACCCUUGCCCUUUGCCCUUCCUCCGCAUAUGCUUUUUUAUGCUUGGCAUAUGUAAAGCGGUGCCCGCGCCGCUAAGUUAAACCCUCCAUCAUAUUUACACUUCCAAUUUGUUAUUUUCUUUAAUUUUUUGUUCCUUUAUUAUUUUUAAAAAAAAAUAAUAAUUAACGAGCAUGAUUUGAAUUUGGCCAUAUUUUAACAAAAUUAAGAUAAAUAAAAUUUCUCAAUAAAUAAAGUCUACAAUAUUCUCAGAAUAAAAACAAGUAAAACCCUAUCCCAUCAGUUGAUGUCUAUAAUAUUUCAAAUGACAUUUCAUCAGAGAUAAAACUCCUUAUUAAGUAUGUUCCACUUCUAUUAAAAUGUGAUCUCAAUGGAAUUCACAAAUGUGUGCAGACUCAAUUAAAACAAAACAAUUAAAAAUAUAUAUAUGAUAUGAAAACCCUAGUUUAUCUAUCUAUAUAUAUAAAGCAAAAGGCAGAGAAUGGUGAAACAUUCAAAAUACCAGAAAAUGCCCUUUGUUAAUGCAAACAUUAAGAAUUCAAAUUAUUAAUUAAAUGAGGAUAAUAUGAUAAAUUCACACUUUUUCAUAUUAAAAAAAUUAAAAUUAAAAGAAAAUUCAGAUAAUGGGUCCUAUUUUUAUGGAACACAAAUAUCCAUGAUCUUUUUUAAUUCUAAAAUAAAUUUAAAUUUUUUUUAAAAAAAACCUCUCGCAUGCGCGGAAGCGCGUGCAGAGAAGCUAGUAUAUUAUAUAUCUACAUGCUAACGAGCUUUGACUUGCAGAUCAGUAGUCUCAUGAAGAAAAGAAAAAAUAGGUGUAGAUAUUAAACUAAGCCCAGCCCAACUUACAGGAAGUGAGCCAACAUUGGCCCAAAUGUGAACUGCCAACCAAGCCAGCAAAUGUUGUGGUAGGCAAAAGCCUAAUGCGAAGACUGUGAAACCCCAGCCCUAAGCCAGUACAAGUAGAGAGGAGAACUUACAAGACUCAUCUCUCUCUGACCCUCUCUCGCCUCUAUAUAACCCCAUUGAGUUGGUUUCCUCCACGCAAAAGAGAAACUCAGUGUGUUAUACGACAAAGGUACCUGAUACUUUAUUCAUUCCUUGAAAAUACAUAGCCUCUACCCAAUAUACAAUAACCCAUUGGGCAUUGAUUGUAAUUUGCAAUCUGCUAUUUCUUUUUUUUUUCUUUCUCUUUUUUGGAUUUCACGAAAUUUUCUCAUAUUAUCUAUCACCUUAAUCUGCUGCUUGCUCACCUAUAUUACUUUUAAUGUGCCGACAAAUGAGAAAAAAGCAAGUCCUUGUUUUGGAUGCUUUGGUCUCCUAUUCUUCCUCAUACCCAUUAUUGAUUGUUGAAUCCUGAACCUGUUCCUGUGUUGGGUUCAUUUACUUUUGAUCGGAAUCGGUUCCCAAAGCGAAAUCGGUAUCUGGGUACCCUGGAUUUUGCUUGUUUAUUACCUCUAAAUUUGGGCAAAUCUUGUGACGGCUUCUAUCCUCUUGGUUGGUUCUCAUUUCUUGCUGAACGUUCUUGUUUGGGUAUUUGUUUUGGUGUUCAAUAUGGUUUUUAUCUGUCAUGUUUUCUCAUUGUUAUUUUUCGAGGUCAGAUUUCAUGUUUUGGUUUGUUUUGAUUGCUUACUAUAGUGGGAUUCUUCUACUUUUGAUUGUUCCUGAUGUGGGUUUUGAUCUAUUAUCACCAGGGAUUUGUUUUUAGGUGUUGAAAUCGUUGGCUUCCCCUCUUGGUAAAUGUUAGCAUUUCUUGAGCAUCUUAUGGACUGAAAUAAGACUCAUUCUGUUUGCUUAAAUGGGAUAUCAUCAGUUUAGUGUGUUUCUUUUAAGCUCUUCAUGAUUCAUGGUAUAAAUAAUUUGGUGAUUGAUGUACAUUGUGGAUCAGUCAAUUAUUGACUCCUUUGCCAUUUGUCUUUAACACUUUUGUUUAAUGAUGGAGUUUCUCAACCUUGAAGUCAUUGAAUGGACUUGCAGAAAUUGCAAUUUUUCGGUCACAAAAAAAAAUUUUUAUUUUACGGCUUCUGGUUACAAUCAGUUUAGUAAAGAGAUUUUUAAUGCUAUAUGUAGAAGGUAUUUUCAUCUUAUUAACUUCAUCUUGUAUGAAGUUUCAUUCAGGGCCUUUGCUCGAGCAAUUUGAAAGAUUGGUUCCUUUUGUGAAAAUGUUUUGGAUAAUCAUAAUCCAUUGUCUAAACUGGAAUUAUUGCUGAUCCUCCUCCAAUCUUGAUUCAGUUGGGAAAUGCUGAAAGUGUAACCUUAAAUUACUUUUAGAAUUCAGCUUCAGUUUAAUUAUAAUCUUACUUUCCCACCCCAUCUUCGUUUCACUAGAAUAUCUUGGUAGGUUUUGUAUGAUUGGGUUCUUACUUUUGUGUACUCUAUUUAGAGAUUUUGAUGAUGUGAUUGAUGGAGUCAAGCUUUAAGACAUUCAUUACCAUUUUUACUGUAUUAUGCAGGUGUUUGUUUCUUGUGACUAACUGGAGGCUCUUAGAACUUUGAAAAUAUCUGCUUCUUGUUUUUCUACCGCUGUAAUAAUAUAUGGGCUGAGGUGCACAUUUCAUGGGAGGUGUGGGAGAUGAAGAACCAGCCACAAAACGCAUGAAAUUAUCCCCUGGACAAUUGAGAGGUCUAUCCAACGGUUCAUCUAUUACAGAGCCUGUAGCUGGCUCUUCAAGAGACUUGAUGGCUCGGCCCCUAACAUCUGAAGGGGACGAAGAGGUUGUUGGUUCAAAAGGAGUUAUUAAGAGGGUGGAAUUUGUCCGACUAAUAGCAAAGGCACUAUAUUCUCUUGGCUAUAAGAAAAGUAGUGCUCAUUUGGAAGAAGAGUCUGGGAUACCGUUGCACUCUUCUGUGGUAACUCUUUUUAUGCAGCAAAUUCUGGACGGAAAUUGGGAUGGAAGUGUCGACACAUUGCAAAAAAUUGGUCUAUCAGAUGAAAACAUUACUAAAUCAGCCUCCUUUAUGAUAUUGGAGCAGAAGUUCUUUGAACUUCUAGAUGAUGAAAAAGACAUGGAUGCACUGAAGACAUUGAGGACUGAGAUUGUACCUCUCUGCAUCAAUGGUAGUAGAGUUCGUGAGCUUUCUUCCUGCAUAGUUUCGCCUUCAUUUGGUGGGACUCCUGGUAAAAACAUUGCAAGGGCCAAGUCUCGGCCAAAGUUACUGGAAGACUUGCAGAAACUGCUUCCCCCAACAGUUAUGAUACUUGAAAGACGGUUGGAACAUUUGGUUGAACAGGCCCUAGUCUUACAACGUGAUGCUUGCAUUUUUCACAACUCCUUGAACGAGGAAAUGUCUUUGUACACUGAUCAUCGAUGUGGGAGAGAUCAGAUUCCUUCUCGAACAUUACAGGUUGGUAAAAAAAAAAUUCUGAUUAAUGGUUGUAAGCUCUAAUUAGAGCUUUGUAUACUUAUUGAUUUUACUUAUUUGGUCAUAUUUCAUAUGAUGAAUGAAAAUCAUGUUCAUUAUUUGUUGUCAUAUGAGGUAUCACAUCUUAAACUGUGAAGUUGAGUAAUAACAGUGAAUGUGUCACUUUAAGGUAAGCUAAGAUUAUAGUACUCAGUCUUGGUUAUCAGGGGUUUUAUGGACCCCGUGAGAAGAGACUGGCCUUUCUGUUAGGUAAGUUAAGAUGGUUUUUCCCAGUCUUGUUCUUUUAGUCCUUCUAAUUAGUUUGACCUGAAAAAUAAACCAAGGAGUUUAUCAGAAAUUAAUUAAAGUGAGCAAGUGAUUCAAGGAGGCUGCUGUUUAUAACCCUCCACAUGUCUGUGGAGAGUUUCAAAUUCAAAAAAUAAUACUAGGGUAAGUAGUUGUUCAUCUAAGUGUAGGAUUUGUAUGGGGGAGGCAAAGUAGUACAAUUAAUUGACCAGAUUGGACAUGUGGAACUUGAUAGCCUUCUUUGGAAAAACUAGUGUUAGAUAAUAUGUUCUCAUCAGGCAAAGAGUAACCAGUGUGGUUCAGCUUACAAUUCAUAAGCCUCUAAAAUUUGAUAGAACAUGAAAUUCAAGUCUUUGUGGCAUUGUAUUGUCCUUUCGUUACUGAUAACACUUUAAAUAUCAAGGGUCCUGGUUUCUUUGCUACUUCCUGUCUUUAAAUCUUUGCUGUUAUUAUCAGCAUUGAGAAUGGUAUAUUGCCAUUUCCAAGCAUCCUUGUUAAGUGUGCUCUUGUCUGAGUUAAUGUGUGGAGGAAGAUACUGACCAAGGUCUUGCGGAGCUUAAUCUAUGUCUGAUUCCAUCAUUGUUGACUUCACUUUCUUUUUUGCUGUCUACUUUAGUGCCAUCUCUCGUAAUUUGCAUCCACUCGUUAUAUUUUCUGUGUUUUGUUAAUUUGUUAUGUCAAUGACAAUUGUCUAAUCUCUCUCUCUGGUUACUCUUUUAUUAUGUGUUUGUUGUACAUAUGCUAUUUACCUUGUCUAGAUUAACCAUUCUUACAUUUAUAAAGGGCACUUUGAAUCUGGUUUUACAUACAUAUUAGUCAGAUCUUGGUUCUAAACCUUUCUUAUCACUUUCAAUUUUACAGAUAUUACAAGCACACAGUGACGAAGUCUGGUUUCUGCAAUUUUCACACAAUGGGAAAUACUUAGCUUCAUCAUCAAGUGAUCGAUUAGCAAUCAUAUGGGAGGUAACAUCAAUACUAUGUGGAACUAUUUCUUAAUCUUGCGUAUGCUGCCCUCUUCUCCAUUUUAUAUUUUUCAUUGUUGAUGCAAUGGGUCAAAUUUGAUUUCUACCUAUGUAUCUGCGUGCAUCUAUAGAUGGGCAUCUUCAGUAUAAAUCUAUCAAUUAUUUCUGCCUCCUCUUCUUCACAUCUAAUGUUUGUAUUGCAGUUCCCAUGUUGCCCUUCCAUCUCUGUUGGCACUUUUGAUUUCUCUGUUGCUAGUUUUUCACGAGAUAUCAAAUAUAUGUUCUCAUUAUGUAGUCCCCUAAUGCAAAUUAUUUUGAAAAUGCAUGGAAUAUUUCAGCGCUAUAACUGGUUUUCAUCUUCCCCAUUCUUUUCCUGUCGUCCGGACUUUGUUUUUGUUUGUGUGUGUAUCUGCAGCCUUAGAUGACCCUUUUGGGACUAAUGGAGGUGAAAUAAUGAUUUGUAUACUCAUUUAUAGAUAUGUUGUGCAAAAGAAGAAGAAAAUUACUAGGAAUUCAUAUCAAAUAUGAUCAGUUUUCAUCAUACUUUUGGCUUAACUUGGCUGAGCUUGGCACGCAAAUCUAGGCUCAAUACCAUGUCUGAGCACAGCCCAGCCCCAGCUCAAGCCACUGGUUCUGAGCUGGCUUGGAAUACAAUCCCAUGUGCAUGCAUGGUUGACAGGUGGACCAAUAGUUACCUGUUGUUCUAUUGUUGCAACUUGCAAUACAAAUUUUUUAAAAGAAAAUAGCAGUUGGGUUGGAAUUAGAUUGGAAAGCUCUGCGUGUAAUUCUUAUUUAAUGAUAUGCAACGCUUUUUGUUUUUUUAUAUUUUGAUCCUAUUAUCCUAGAUUUUUAUACCCUGAUCAUUUUCUUGUUGGGUAUAGGUUGAUGUGAAUGGUUGUGUUUCUUUAAAGCAUAGACUAUCUGGUCACCAGAAACCUGUUUCCAUAGUUUCAUGGAGUCCUGAUGACCAUCAGCUCCUCACCUGUGGAGUGGAGGAGGUGGUCAGGCGUUGGGAUGUUUCUUCUGGUGAAUGCCUCCAUGUUUAUGAAAAACCUGGUCUUGGUCUGGUGUCCUGUGGAUGGUUUCCAGAUGGAAAAUGGAUAUUCUCUGGUGUCAGUGACAAGAGCAUCUGCAUGUGGGAGUUAGAUGGGAAGGAGCUGGAGUGCUGGAAAGGCCAACGAACUUUACGAAUCUCUGAUUUGGAGAUAACCAGUGAUGGGAAGCAAAUUAUAAGUACUUGUAGAGAUAAUGCUAUAUUACUACUUGACAGGGAAGCCAAAGUUGAGAUAUUGAUUGAAGAGGAUCAAACUAUAACUUCUUUUUCAUUAUCAAGAGAUAAUAGGUUCUUGUUGGUUAAUCUUCUGAACCAAGAAAUCCAUCUCUGGAGCAUAGAAGGUGAAAUCAAGCUUGUUGCUAAGUACAAAGGUCACAAACGCACCCGAUUUGUUAUCAGGUCUUGUUUUGGUGGACUUGAACAAGCUUUCAUCGCUAGUGGUAGUGAGGAUUCACAGGUAAAGAAUUUGGUUUCUUCCUUCUGAGGCCUCUUCUUUUUGCUUGUGUUUCUUGUGAUUAAGCAUAAGGCUUAUGUCUGGACAAAUCAUUUAGGAGGCAGAUACUCAUUUCAUAUUUAAAUAUGUUACUAGUUCCUGUAUGUUUUCUGCUGUGAUUUUUUCUGUGUGAAGGGGGUGGGGUUGCGGGAUAUAGCUCCAAUAUAUUCCCCUUUAGAUUCAACGUUGGAUAACUAGAAUGUAGUUGAUGCAGUUUCAUUAAUGACAGAUGAAACUGGCUUCUUGUUUAUUUUUUACUUUGUUACGCAUUGUUUUAAUUUAGGGUUGAACUCCUUUAGUUGCUUGCUGCCAGGGUGUGGAGGUUAACCAAAAUGGCAGACAGAGAACUUUUUAGUUUAAUACAUUGUCUUGAUAUUGUUGUGUAUCAUCCUGGACUGUCGCUGUACAGUGAGGUCAAUGUGAUAAAUGGGAUUAAGAGGACAUCACACAGAAGAAUUGGAUUCAGUACAUUUAUGCUAUUUUGCUAUUAGUUGUAAAAUGAGAAUUCGGUUGUCAUUUCCCUUUCGCUGUGCUAAUUGAUGGUUUUCUCUGUGCAGGUUUACGUAUGGCAUAGAGGCUCAGGGGAGCUCAUAGAGGCAUUGCCAGGUCAUUCUGGAGCUGUUAAUUGUGUCAGCUGGAAUCCAACAAACACACACAUGUUAGCCUCAGCCAGUGAUGACCGUACAAUUCGGAUAUGGGGCCUAAAGGAGCUAAAAGUGAAACACAGGGAUGCACACAGCAAUGGCGUCCAUUAUUGCAAUGGGGGAACUUGAAAAAGACUUGAAAAGCAAAUUGCUGGUUAUAAUUUCUCUGACCAUUGCUUUUAUGUAAAUACCUUAUCAUCGUCAAAAUCAGACAUUCAUGUCAAACAAGCAUGUGGAUUGUGCAGCAAGUAUCUAUAAUAAAUCUACUAUUUCAUUUAUAGUAUGUUCAUUCUUUUUCUUUGAAUCAAUUUUUGAACUUUUGUGCAUGAGAAAGUUGACUUGUACUUGAUAAUCCGGUUAGGACUAGUGCUUUUUUUCUUCAGGUAAAUACUUAAAUACAAGGAAAAAUGCUAUAGAGCCAACCCAAAUUGAAUGGGAUAAACUAGUGAUGCAAGUUUCCUCUCCAAUGGAGCUACGUUUGAUUUAUUUUAUUGCUUGCUUUUCAUGUGUAAAUAAGCCGGUAAACCAUGAAGCUUUGGUCAUUAGGGGCAUCCUUUAUCGAUUUGAGCAAUAGUUGACUGGUUUAUCCAAAACUGUUCUGAAGCUCUUUAGAUUCUUUUUCAUUGUAAAUGUCGCUUUGCAUCCCCAUUGGAGAUGCCCUGAGUACCUUAAAGAAUUCUCAAGGUUUUAGUUGGCUUCUGAAUAUCGCAGUAAAACCCUUCUGCUGGCUUCCCAACUUGUCAAUUCUUCCGAUCCUUUUGUUAGGAGUUUGCUUUUCCUGUAUGAUAACAGUGCUUGAAAAACCUCAAUGCUCAGAUUGAACGGAUUUUAAAGAUGCACAUAGACAAUGUUGAGGAGCAAUAAUACAAACAUAGCUUAAAGUCUGAAUUGUGCAAGCAUUAUUGUUGGACAAAACAUCUAGGAUGGUUGAAACUUUAACCAUUCAUUUGUUCUCUUUAUUGUCUUAGAAUUGGGAAACCGUAACCAGAAAAUUGGACCUCCUCUUCAACUUUGUUGGAUACAAUGCCCAAAGUCACGAGAGAGAGAGAGAGAGAGAAGAAACUCAUUUAAAGAGGGUCCUGAAUACCAUGAAAUAUUUCAAUAUGCUCAAGAGUCAAAAGGAUACUCCAACCAGUUCCUCAAUUAUAACCAAAUUAUAAAAAAGAAAGAAGAGAAAAUGAAAAAAAAAAAAAAAAAAAAAAAAAAAACUAGAGAGCUCAAGACAAUUCACAAUCUUAAGAUGAUUUACAUAUACAAACCCUCAAUAAAUUCUUAGGCAACACUGAAGGAAGAUGCAGAGCUCUCCACAAACUUCCUUGCUCCCUUGAACCACCUCUUGUCUCCAGCUUGAGCCUUACAGAUGUAAAGCUUGCCAUCUUUCACUGUGGCUGUGAUGAGCUGGUGCUUGCCACCUUCAUCUCCAUCAGCUGUCCUUGUCAACACAGACAAGUAGUAAUAGGGUUUCCCAUCAACCACUUGACUUGAAGAUUCCAAUAUGUUGGCCGUGGCCACAGCGCCGGAGUCAAAACCACCCUAUACCAAUUCAAAGUCAAAUACCAUCAGAAUUCACAUAGUUGCCACCACUAUGGAUGUUAUAUAUACGCAAGGUCAGGCAGUCGGCAUUUGCUAAAGUAACCAUGCAUUUUAUGGCUGCAGGUAAAAGCUAUCUUCUCUAUUGAGUAUUAUUAGGGUCACCAAAUUUUAUCCGUCAAAUGGUGUUCAGUAUUUCAUUUAUUCAAACCACUCAGUGCUCUGUAUUAUAUAGCAAAUUAUACCUCAGAAUCAGUCUUGCCAAAGUAGGCUUGUUUGCCUAGCAAAUAGUCCACCUACAAAAAGCAACAUAUAUCAAAACUAAAUUGUUAGUAAUUGGCAGUAUUUAAAUGAUGAAGGAAAUGAAAACAUAUAUAUAUAUAUAUUGCAUUGUCAAUGGAAAGAAGGAGAAGCUAUCACACCUUGGUGAGGAAUUCCUCAGGGGAGCCAUAGUCGGUGAUAGAUUUCUUAUCGGUCGGGGUGAUUGUGACAGCCACGUUGCUGGUGGUGUCAAAGUUGUCCUCAUAUCUCAGAACUUGACCAGGGUAUUCAACCUCUUUGCUUGGGUUCCAUUUUGCAGGAAUCGAAAGCUUGAAUCCUUCUCCAACGUAUGGCAAGAAGUCUGUGUUUGUCUUUGGCUUUCCAAAAACGUUGGCUGCAUAUGCAUUUAAUCAGAAUUUAAGUUCAAUUUGGUCGAGGAAAAGAAUAAAUAUAUUAUACAUGGAUCGUUUGUCAAACUGUCAAUUUUUUACCAUAUUUCAUAAAUUUGUAUGUUAUGUUGCGAGACUGUCAAUACUAAAUAAUUAUUCAUAUUGAGACUGUUCGGCAUGAGAACAUUUCUUACCGGAUUCACCAUAAGCUGCAUCAGCAGGGGAAACCUUGGAGCCAAGGGCUGCAGCUCCAAUGAGGACUGUGAGAGCCAAUCGCCGGGAGACGUUAACGGCACCAUCUUCUUCCUGGACAGCCUGCUUCUGAGCCCUGCAGAUCACAAUCUGGUUCUGCUUGACAUUCACCACUUGGCGCUGUGAUGAGGAGGACCUGGCAGAAGCUGUAGUGAGUGCAUGGUGGUGCAAAAAGCAUGCAGUUGAGGCCAUUUCCUUUCACUCACUCUCUUUGUGAUUCUUGUCUGUGUAUAGAGUGAAGUGGGAUUGGUUUUGUGGAAGUUGAGUUGUGGUGCUGAGGAAAAUUGGCUUUGGAUGUGUGUUGUUUGUUUGUGUGAUAUCUGAAGGCAAAUGGUUGGUUAAUUUUUUGGAUAUUGGAUCAGGGAAGUGGAUGAUGGGAAGAUUAGAUUUUGAUGUGGGAUAAGGCUGUAGGGGCGCUCAUUGGUACCACGUGGCAUUGUUCACAUGCUGCUUUUUGUACAUUUUUUAUUUCUCAGUCAUAUGUAUUUGGCAGCUGGACCCUUUGUUUGGUCAUAUGUAUAGGCCCAUUUGAGAGCUGGGCCUACAUAGUUAUGGGCUUCCUUUGAAGUAGAAUAGUUCAAUUGCUGAAAAAUAUGUGGACAUUAAUUUAUGACCUAACAUUUGUCCUCAAACUUUAUGUGGGUAGGUUAUAUUUAACAUUUGUUUCAUAAUAUUCACGUGAAUCGCAUUGUCGUGCAGUAUGUUUCUAGGAUAAUGAUAUAUAACCGACGCAUACAAUAAUUUUCUCAACUCAUAAUUAUCUAGAAUAAUGAUAUAUAACGACGCAUAUAAUAAUUUUCUCAACUCGUAAGUAUCGACACCAAAACCAGAAAUUUCUAUCUACCCUAACAUCACUCAUCUCAUGCUGCUUGAAUUAAGGCUCAUAUAGAAUUCAAUAAUGUAUUUCUAGGAAUACAAAUUAAGUGAGUGAUGAUAACAAUUCAUCAUACAAUUUACAUUUGCAAUUCCAUUUCAAUGGAGUGACUUAUACAAUGGACACAUACAAUAUAUAUGAAGAAUUGGGAAAAUAUAAUCCAUUGUCUAAGCCAAGAUAUUAUGCAGGUAGGGCUUUAAUGUGUUCUUAUAUUAUAUAUACACCAACCCUCUCAAUAAAUGAUUUUUUUAAGGAUUUUUCUUAUUGAGAGGGACGAUUAUAUACUAAAUUUACACACACUACACGAAUGCUAAGAUUCGAAUCCAAAAUCUUUCCUGAAGAAGGGAGCAAUUGCUCCAAACCACUAUAUUAGUGAUCACUUUGUAAUAUAUAUAAUAGAAUGUUAAAACACAUGUGAAAAUGCAUUGAUGUUUUAAUUUGUUAGUUGCAUGCUACCUACCUACAAGAUAAUUGCAUUAAAUUUAUUUAUCUGUAUGAAAAUGUUGAAGGCCUUGAUUUUUAAGCUCCAACAUUGCUUAAUUGGUCAGUCAAAAUACUUCUUUAUUUUUCCUUGACCAGCUCAUAGUACUAGGAAGUCAUUUAGAUUUUGUAUGCUUAGCAAGUAAGUAUUGAUAAUUUUAUCCAAAAAAGGAAAAAAAACAGAACCAACCAGUAGAAAUUAGAAUGAUAUAGUUUGCCAACUGCAAGUCCACACAAGUAACGGGCAUCUGGCGGGCGUUGGACUGCGCUUGUAUAAAAAGAAAACAAAGAUUCCUGUCCUGCACGCCUUUUCCAUUUCUAUCAACUUGUACUGGAACUUCCAUGCUUUCCCCGCACUGCCAUCAUAAUUCAUAAGCUCCUACAAGGAAAACCCAUCAUCUUCUGCUUCUUCAUUUUGCUCCAAUCUCCUCUGAUCAGGUAACCCAUCUUUCAUUUGGCUCUGGUUUCUGCUCCUCUGCAUCUUAUUACUCUUUCUCCAUCUUCUUUUUAUGUUGCGCUUAAAUUUUGUAACUUGCUGUAAUUUUUUUUCUUCAUGGAAUUUGAUGUUAUGAAUUGUACAAAUGGAGUUGAAAAUAUUGUUUUUUCAUAGUUUCUUCUCUUUUUUCCUGAAGUGACUUUGUUAGAGGGCAGUUGAUUUUAGUUCAUAUGUGAAAUAAAAUUUCUGGGUCAUUGAAAUUUUGGUAGAGUUCUGGUGUGUUUGAGUAUUGUGAAUUGGAACUCUUUCUUCUGUGCUUGCCUUGAUUUUGAAUAUCCCAAUAUUUAUAUCUUGGUGGUGUUGGAUGGUGGGGCUGAGUCUUUGGUUGAGAUACUAAAGUAUCUUUACAGGAUAGAUAGAGCUGCUUUAAUCUUCAGAUUGGGAUACUGGAAGGGCAAAACUUUUCAUCUGUGAAGUGUUUUUGUAGGAUCUGCAGUGUAAUGUUUUAAAUUUCUGUAUAUUCUUUUCCUAGUUAGCUUGGAGUAUCUUUUAGGAAAUCUUCCGCGGCUUGCCUUUUCUUGGCAUAAAAGUGUGGGUCACAGGGCCAAUGAGAAAUUGGUUAUUUAGCACUCUGAUGUGUUCUAAGUGACAAGGACUGCCUUGUGCCUCCAUGGUAAUUAAUAUAAGUUGGAGACAUGGAGGUUAGCAACCACAAAUUUUUAUCUUCUAUUGAGGCAGCAGUUAUGUUAGAGCUAGUGGGUAUGAAAGCUGUUAUUCCUGUUUGUUCUUAGUUGUUUCUGUUGAGGCAGCAAUCAUGUUUUGUUGUGUCGAUGUGAUUUGCAAUAUACUGUGUUUUAUUUCAUCUUGUAUUAUCUUUAACUCUUAAUUUGAGGGGCUUUUUGUACUCCUCCGUUCUCUUUUAUACUUUCGCUUGGUGGUUUCAAGAUUUAACCUAUAAUUCAAAGAAAAGAAAUUUUUUGGAAGAAAAAUGCUGAUGCUACUUGUGGUUGUGUGACCUUUCAAAUUUGCUUUUGCAAUAAUUUUUCUUUUUUUGAAUCAUCUUCAUUCCUGUGGUCUACAGUUUUGGGGAAUGAGUCUUGAUGGCUGAGAGAACCUGGUUAGAUUAGAGCAAUUACUAGGAAGUCUGUUCAUAUGAUGUACUCAUUCUCUGCUUCUAUUAUGGGUUUAUAAAGGUUGAAUAAUGCACAUGCACAGAUCUUUUUGCGUUAAUCAUGUAUAACCCAAAUUGACCAUAUGGAUAAGCAAUUUCCUUGUAUCUGAGGCUUCAAAGUACAAUGUUUUACAAUAAGUGGCUUGAAGGGAAAAAAGAAUUGAUAUGUCCUUGCUUCCAAUUAAUUAAUCUCAUUUAGUGUUGUUAUGGUCCCUACUAAGUCUUUUGCAUCUCCCAUGUGUGUAUGUUUCCUAUAAACAUUUCCUGUAUUGAAGCAAGCUUUCAGUGUAUUAUAGUUUCUGCCAUGACCAGAGUUUUGUUCUUGAAGUAUAGGAACAAUGCCUGAGAAAAUAACUCCUGAGGAUCUUUUGAACAACAUUGUGGGAACAUUUGCUGAAAGUAGUUCAAAACAGAAAUCUGUGCCACUUUUUGGGGAAGAGACAUCAAACUCAGUCACUUCUAAGUUGAACCGGCUAUUUGGACGCCAGAAGCCUGUCCACCACCUUUUGGGUGGAGGCAAAUGUAGGAUCAUUAUGUUCCAAUACAUGCUUGAGCAUUUUUUUAUGCAAUUAGAAGUUGUUGCUUCCGCUAAUUCUCCUUGCAUUGUUUCUCUUUUUAUGCCUGAACUAUGUAGCUGCUGAUGUCUUGUUGUGGAGGAACAAAAAGAUAUCAGCUAGUGUUUUAACUGGUGCAACUGUUACCUGGGUGCUCUUUGAAUGGCUCAAUUAUCAUUUCUUGACUCUUGUGGGCUUUGCUUUGGUUCUUCUUAUGCUUGCUCAGUUCCUUUGGUCAAAUUUUUCCGGCAUAAUUAGCAGGUGACGUCAACAUGCUCAGUUUUGAGCUUCUAUUUUGCUUGGUUGGGUGAUGUUGUGUACAGUAUAGCUGAAUGUUGUGAUCUGAGUAUUGUGUUCUCCAUGGUGGCAGGUCCCCAUCUGAAGUACCUCGCCUUGUUGUGCCUGAUCAAUUAUUUGUCAAUAUUGCCAUCUCGAUUGGUCAUGAAAUUAAUCGAGCCUUGGAAUUUAUUCAAGAUGUUGCACUUGGAGGAAAUUUGAAGCAAUUUCUUAUGGUAUGUUUGGAUGAUUAUAUUCUUUUCAUACAUAUGAUUGUAUAUAUCAUAUACAAAGGUGAUCUGAUUAAGAUCCAUGUGAGGAACUGGAAGACUUGUGCGUCGGCUGUUAGAUUAGAUAUGAAUGACCAGAAUAGAACUAAUCCACCCUCACUCACUAUGCAUCUCAACCAUCUAAAUUUUACCUAAAGACUGAUAUGCAAGUCCUCAAUUUAAUUUCUAGAACAUCACCAUAUCUAUGUUAUGAAAAGCACUUUCUUGGCUUGGCUUUCACUGGUUUCUUGAUAUUAGCAGUAAAUGCAUUUUAGGCCUCAAAACCCCAUGCUAUCAUGCUUUUAGUUAACAUGACGAUUGUAAUGAACUGUUGAGAUAUUAUCUCAGGUUGUAGCAAGCUUGUGGGUUGCUGCAGUGAUAGGAAGCUGGUGUAAUUUUCUGACCGUUUUGUACAUUGGUGAGAGAUCCAACCACUAAUAAUAUCGAGUCUCUUAUGAACUUAUGAUCUGAUGACCAUGUGUUCUGUUGAUGGUAUGGUUAAAGUUUGGGAUAACCAUGAAUAUUAUUGGAGAGAAUUUGAUUGUUGUCAGAAGUUUGAAUAUUGUUACUUCAGCUGCAUAAUAAAAUAUGAGUUGUCUUUCAGUAUUUUGCACUUGAUGCUUCACUUGCUCUACAUGGAAUUGAAACAUAAGUUCCUGUUAGUAGUAAGUAGUAUCCUUAGCCGUAGUGGUGGAAAAUUAAGCUCUCUCUCUCUCUCUCUCUCUCUCUCAGAAACCUGUGGCUUCUGAGGUAAACUCAUGCUUCUAGUCUCAUUUCAGUUUAAAGAUGAUAUUUGAUGAAGUAUGUAAUUCCUUCCUUUUGGAUUUUAUCACUGGAAUUUGUUUAUUACUAGUGAAGAGUAUACAUAUACUGUAAUAUUCAUGAAUGCUGUAUCUUAAAAAAGAAAAGAAAAAGAAAAUAUGAUUACCUCGUUGAAUUUGGAAGCGGUUUAGAACUGCCAUCAACUUAGGAUCAUGGUGCCUUUCUUGCUGAGGGUAAUUAUAGAGUUCUUUUAUUAUUCAUGAUUUAUCUAUCUGAUUGAGCUAGACAUGCUUAUAAGAGUUAUAUGAAGCUUACUGAUAAUCCGUCUUUGCUUUUAUGGUACAUAAUAUGGUUUUUAUUAAUAAUAUUGUUAUCCUGGUAUAUAUGGAAGAGAAUUGAUAUAGGUCGUUGUUUCUUAGGUUUUGUUGCUGCUCACACAUUGCCAGUUCUGUACGAGAGAUACGAAGAUCAGGUCGACAACUUUGCAUACCAGGUCCUUGGGCAGCUUCAACAUAAUUAUCGGAAGCUCGAUACCGGUGUCCUCAGCAGGAUCCCAAAAGGAAAGGUCAAUUGGAAGAAGCAUGAUUAGAUACGUUUAGCAACAUAAAUAAUGUUUAGCCAUCUCUGCAGUUGAUUGGAAAAUAGCAUGUUCCAGCAGAGGGAAAACAAGGGGUGAAAAAACAAUUAAGUAUUAUUGUUUAUAGGGUCAGAAACUGGACAGUUGUGAUUAUUCCAUGUUAGUAAAACCGUUCAGUUAUUGUGAAGGUUCAAAUUCAUCUUCCAUUUGAUCAAUUCUCGUUUUGAGAAGUAACCAUUGCAGAAUUAGCAUUAGCUUAAACCAAAACCAAGAGGUUAAAACCACAUGCAAGGAUCAGUUGGGUUGAAACCAUGUCAACUGGUUUCAACUUUCAUUUUCAUGGAAAGAAGAACGGGGCAUCUGGCUUUCUUUAUUGAAAAUCAGGACCACAUCAUAGUUGGUGUGUAUUUUACCAUUACCCUGAUGAGGAAAUCUUGGGUAGUUUAUGUAAAUGAGUCGUAUAAUACAUCACGGCUGAGAGUCACCCACACAUGUUAGUAUAUUUCUGUCUUUCCCUGAAAACAUUAUAACAUCCGUUACUCUAGUACUAGUGCAGUCUGAGUAACGCCAAUACUACCACAGGCACAGGCACUUUUAAUCCUUCACCCCUAUUGUUACUUUUGUUUUGCCAACGUCUAACAGUUGUGUAAAAACAGGGUUUAAGUUAGAAUUUUGAGAUUUCAAUUACUUGUGGCUACACUACUACAAUAAAGUUAAUAGACAACGGGUUUUAGCUGGUGUUGAAAGUCUUCUAAAAUCGUUGAGGUUGGGAGUUUUCUACCUAUUAAUGACAACGGUAAAAAACCAUUGUAAUAUGUCACUUUCAACAACUGUUUUUCUAAAACCGUUGUCAAUUCUCAUAUAUAAAACGGUAUACAAGAGCGACCGUUGCAAUAUGACCCUUUCAAUAAUGGUUUUGCUCAAUAACCGUUGUAGUAUUAUGCUUACUGUUCAAACUAACCGUUAUAAAAUUGAACUUUCACAAGAGUUUCUCUGUCUAUGGUCGUGGUGAAGGCAAGGCUAUGAGGUGGGAAGAACAAGACUGUGGAGAGAGGUAGACGCGAGAGACAAGAGAUAGAAGAGAGAACUAUCGGGGCUUAAGAAAAAAUAUUAAAUCACUGUUCACUCCGUGUUUUUUUUUUUUUAAAAAAAAAGCUUCAAUUACAACGGUUCAAACAAAAAUCGUUGUGGAAAGUUGUAAAAUAAAAUUAGAAAAUCACACCCUAAACCACAACGCUUAAAAACCCCUUUUGACAACGAUGACGUAAUAACCAUUGUAGAAGAAACAAUUACAAUGAUUUCGGAGCCAACCAUUGUGUAUUCAACGUCGUCUUUUUGAAUAUUUGUAGUAGUGCUAGUAAUAUGUAACUAUAAGUAAAGUUGAAAAUUUAAAGAACAAAAGAUGAUGAAGAAGUAAUUGGUUAAUUAACAAGCUUAUACUGAUUCUCGAUCGAUGAAAAGGUUGUGGACCUAUUGGUACAAUGAAAGAAAACAAGAAAAAGCUAGCUAGACGGCCUGUAGAGAGGUAUAGCUCUAAACAGUAAAGCUGUAAAGAUAUCAUUACAAGGUCCAGAAAAUUAUGGGAGAAUUUUCCACGUUGUUUGUCCUACUUUCAGAUCAGUAAGAGAUCUCAGACAUGCACAUAUAGCUAGUAAUGUUUUUGUUUAUAAUAUUUUGCUGGAAUUUUUUUUUAGUACAAACGAUUAGGGGAAAUGAACUUAUACAAAUAUUUAUUAGAUGUGUGUAGGUUUUAAAUCUUUGUUCAUAUGAGUGGAGAUAGAAAAACUCAACCAAUUACGCUAUAACCCGCUGAGAAUUUUGCUGGAUAUUUACAUAUGUGAGAUUUGAGAACCUUAAGGGCAUGUUUGGCAGGCUGGACUAAUCUGGACAGUGUUAAAUAACAUUUUAAAACCCACGUUUGGUGAAAGAGGGACUAACAUAAAUAGGAUUGUAUAGUCCACUGAUGAAAAAAUCACCGGACUCGCUCGUCCAAUACUGCGAGGAUGAAAAGCAGUUCGCAAAAUAGCGAGCGUGCUAUUUUGAAACAUCGAGUUCAACCCACACAGCGACCUUCAUGAGCUGCUCCUGGUUGAUGAGGAUCCUCCUCGUUCAUGUCGGGCAAGAUGGCGGUGAGUAGAUCCUCGAAUUCGAUGGUGCCGUUUCCGUUAGCAACAAGGAUGUGGAGCUAGUCGCCGGUGGGCUUGAGGUUGGGAAAGACCUCCAUACCUGCCGAUCUGAGUACAGAAAUGCUUGUGUAAGAAAAUGGGUCGACUAUUCCACUGAUUGCGAUGAUACCAAUCCCUCAUAUCCCUUUUAUGAUUUUGAGAAGAAGGAAUUACAAAAACAAAGCAAGCAGGGACCUUAUUAUGGUUACUGGAUUCGCAGGGUAUGCUACCAGGAAGAAGGAAGGGAUCAAAAAGAUCCCAAUUGUGUUUUGGUAUUUUUUUAAUUUUAAUUUUGUGGUGUGGUUUGUCAAAAGUUGUGGUGUGGGGUUAGUUGGGUUUAUUCUAAUUUUCUCUUUGGAAAUCUGGAAAGAAAGACACAGCCAGAGAGAGAGGAAGACAGACGGGAAAGAAAGGCAGAAGGAGAGGGAGGAAGGAAGAAGGAAAGAACGAGAUAAUGGUUUUUUUAUUUUUUAAAUAAAAAAUUAAUUUAAAAAAAAAUUCACACAUCAACCCCAAUUAAAUAUCCCUAAUUAAAUAUAAAUAUUUUUUAAGUCAAAAUAUUCAAUUAAAUUUAAAUAUUACAAGAAUUAUUUUUUAGUCCGACACAGCACCAAACAUAGGUCUUCACUAUUUUACAAUCUAGCUUCUUAGUCCGACACAGCACCAAACGUAGGUCAGUACUUAAUCCAGCUUAGUCCAAUCCGAAUUAAUCCAAGACAGUCUUAGGAUUUAAUCCAGUUCAUGACAGUCCGUCGUACCAAACGACCCCUAAGUACUAGAGUCAGUCGAAUAUUUGUGAGGUAACCAUGUGGUCAACUGGUCAUCACUUUUUUGUUUCUUUCUGGAGUCAGUCGAAUAUUUGUGAGGUAACCAUGUGGUCAACUGGUCACCACUUUUUUGUUUGUUUCUCUGACAUGUGCGAUUUGGUGAAGAUAUGUUAGAUGGCAAACACAAACCAGAUCUUAUAUUUUUGUAUUUGGAACAUCGACAAAAUAAUUAACAAGCGACAGCCUGCAGCCAGUAUGAGCAGUGACUCUAUAUCAUGUGGGAUUCUCAGUAAGGCGCGGAUCCAAAUCUAACACAGUACUUUCACAUGAUGUUCAAGUACAUAUUGUUUGCUUCUGCUGAUUAAAUAGUCGAGUUGAAGUCGGCAAUUAGCAAGUGGUAUUGUGUAUAUUUCUCUAAUCAUUAAUCUAUAUAUAGACCAAAAUGAAAAAACAACUAUACUUUAUUUUUAAACUCUUUGUAUUAAUUAUAACUUGGGCGAAUCUGUAUCGACAUCAAUAUCGAACCAUCAAUAGCAUGAUAAAUAAUCGACAUAACGUGUCGAUAUGAAUCCCACCUCAGCUAAAUCAUGAGUGCAGAGCAUAUGCACAAAUAAUUAAUUAGAGCUAGACUUCCUAAAUCAUGCAUGAACAUGUUUAAUUAACAGUGAUUGGCCUGCAGGUUUCACAAAACAUCUGUGGCUAUAGAAUGAAGUACGUUGCAUCUAUAAAAGUCGUAUGUGUAUUUUCAAGGCGAUAUCGAUUGCAUGGAUGGUUGUGAAUAAAAGAGGACCAAAAAUAUCAAGAUAUACAUACACCUGCAUAUAUAUAUAUAUAUAUAUAGAAAUGUAUAUAUAAUAUCUAGAGCCACCUGUGUGUGUGGAGUGGACAUGAGGAGAGAGCUCGAGAGAGCGUGCAUGGACUGCUGAUUCCAUGCUUGGAAUGUGCAAUGCAGCCACCUUCCAUGAGUUUAGCUCACGUAGCGGGCCCUCACCUGCCUUUUAGCACAAAUGUGUGGAGCUACCUUAUUAUAUAUAUAUAUAUAUAUCACCUCCCUUUCUCUCCUUUUCACUCAUUAUACAUACAAGAUUCUCUCUGAAUAAUCUCUGCCUUCUCAUAAUCCUCAAGAGGCAUGUAACAUGUAUAUAAUACACACAGAUAUCUUCUUUGAAUGUUUAUUUUCCAAAGGGAAAAGAACAAGUUUUGGAAUAAUUACAAGUUGAGAACUGUCAUUAGAUGAUACGUAUAUAUAAUCUUAAUUACUCAGAGGUUAAUUAGAAGUUUAGAACCUACCUAUAGAGGGCAGGGAAACGUUUGAAAGAUUGAUGUAUAUACGGCGAUAUAUUCGUGUCUGCAAACCAUGUAUGUCUGAAAGACGUAUAUUUAUGUCUGCAGACGCAUGUAUAUAUACCUACAUGUCAUCAGCUACUACCUCUUCUGUGCAUGUACAGCACCAUAGACAUGUAUGGGACAUCAAUUAAAAGCUAAUCUCUUUUAGAAUCGAACAUGGCUUGGACACACACCUUCACACACACACACACACACAUAUCUGUUUCUGUUUAUUUUUCCAUACAUAUAUAUGAAUUAUGAUUCAAACACACAAAAUAUUAUGUUGUGAAAUAUUGAAAUCCACAUUUUGAAAGGGUUCCAAACUAGAAGAAAACUUAGCAAUUGCCUUUUUCUUUUUUAUGCAUGUAUAUAUGUAUAUUAUUGGUAUUAACCCUUAAAACUAGAGAUUGCUCGGUUCAUAUCUUUUAUGCAAUGAUGAUACCAAAACUUGAAUUUGGUGUAUUAUAAAGUAGUGAUGUUUAACAAAUACAUUAUACUUAUGCAUAUACACACACACACAUAUGUAUAUCUAUCUAUAUAUACGUACACAGAUGCAUAUAUGUAGUCGACGAUACAUUUUCGUAGAUAUCUACAAUAUCAAUCCGCAUAUCCACAAUCCUUAAAGACAUGAUAUCUUAUGAUGUGAAGCUGAGAAUCUCUCCUACGCAGGGGCGGAGCUAGAAUUGUAAGAUUGAGGGGGUCGAGAUAGAAAACACAAGUAUAUCAAAUACAUACAAGUGUUCAAAACGCAUGUUAGAACUAAAUUUUUCAAAAUUAGUCAUGUCUAAUUAUUUUUAAAGGGGCCAUUAAUUAAAAUUACAAGUUGUCUAUUAGUAAGUUGUAAGGGAUCAAAAAAAUGGAGGGCUCAGGGCCACUCCUGGCCUAGGAGUGGCUCCUCCACUGCUCCUGCGUCUUAUCUUUAUGAGUCUAUAAAGAGGGGAAGGACUUGAGUUUCAUGAAUUAAAAACCACUAAUUGAUUUCUCAAAUAUACAGGUAUAUCGAUCUUUCGCUCAUUUCUGUUCCCAAAUGGUGAUUUUUACCAGCAAGAAACCUGGCUUUUCCAAGUUGGUUAUGAAUGAGGACCAAGUCCCAACUCUCUCUCUUUAUACAGAAAAUGAUGGGGACGACGAUGAUGACGACGAUGAUGGAGGAGAUGUGGCGCCAGCAGCAUAGUUAUCAUAGAUUCAUAGUGUUUAUGAAUAAGAGUGGCUUAAGCUUUGAUACUUUCAUCAACUUGAGCUGAACAGAACAUUUGGCAAUAUAUAUAUAUAUAUAUAUAUUGUAAAGAAUCAGCUGCAUGUUAUAAAUUUAUAUUCAUAGGGCAACUAUUUUGUAGCAUACCAUAAUAUUAGGUGUAUGCAUGCAAUUUAAAUAAGCAAAAGAUACCUCCGGUGUGCUUAUACAGUCAUACGCACCAGAGCCAUCUGAGAAAAAAGAAGAAGAAGAAGAAGAAGAAGAGGAGGAAGAAUUCAGGUGUCUAUGUUUUACGACUUUUGGUUGUCUGGGGUGCUCUUCCCCUUAUAUCAUCCUCAUCAUGAGUUGGACAGCUUCUUUUUAUUUUGCAAAGGGCCAGAAAGAGAAAAAUAUUACUUGUAUAUGAUUACUGAGAUCAUGUAUGGCAGCAUGCUGCAAUAUUAAAUUUUAAUAAUAAUUAGUGAUAUCUACUUAUUCGGAGUACGUAAUAUCAAUCUCUCUCUCUCUCUAUUAAUUAUGUCUAUCUCCCCGUAAGUCCAUCCAUUAAUAUAUCAUGGCAACUGAAGAACAUGGAUCUUUUAAAGGAUUUCUUUAUAGAGUUAAUUAUCUUCUUGAUCAUUUCAAUUUCCCCCUUUCAGUUUUGUAUUAUGCUCAAGCAUGGAUUUAUGUUAAUUCAUUUUCCAUUACUAUAGCUGAGCAUAAAAUCCGUGAACUGAGUUUAGAAAAUGUAAGUACUGUGUUUUUUUCCUUCUUAAUUAUAUUUGGUUAUCUUGUCUGCUAGGGUUUUUCUGAUUUCUUGGGUUUAUUUUUCUUGAAAUAGUUUGAAAUAUGUGAGGUUUGGUGCUUGAUAGAUUCAGGUUCACUUGUUUUGCAGCGAACGUCAUUCGCUACCUUUCGUUACAUUAAGUUCAUUUUGAAAUUUGAGACAAAUAAGGUAUUGAUUUGUGGAGAACUGCUGAAAUUUUAAUUUGAGGGUUGUGAAUCUGUGAUCAUAACUUCAGCUUGGAGAACAAUGGCUAGAGGAGCUUCGGUACGUUUAUUGCUUUAUACAAAGUUGCCAUAUAGGCUAGCUGGGAAUAUUGAAAACAAGUUGAAGAAAGUGCUUUCCUUGCUUUACUUUUGUCCGCAUCAAAAGGGUAAUUAAAUUUUCUUCCUUUUAUGACUGCAUAGCUGCAUAGUUGCAUAGCCUUGUCCUUUUUCAUGUAUUCUGAAAUUCGUUGAAUGUAUGUAUACUUUGUGUUUGGUACACUUUGUACUAAUAAUAUGCUAAGGCGCAGCUUGUUAUGCUUGUUCUUUUCAACUAUUCUGUGAGCCCGAUAAAUAAUAGUUCAUUAUUUGUUGCUUCACUUUGCCAAUAUUGCUUGAGGUGAGUUACCUCAAGCAAGAGCAUGAUCUUGGACUGCAAAUUUUCAUGGUUAUUAAGUUUGUAGGUCAUUUUAGAGCAUUAAAUCGACAUAAAAAGAUCUAAAUUUCUGUUAUGUGAAGAUUCAUGCGAUAGGAUUAGUGAGCUGCCAAGAAAUACUAUUGUCAUUCAGGUAUUUGGGUUGGAUUGCUCCUUGUUCUUGUUGUCUUUUGCACUUUACAGUAAUUUGAGAACAUUUUUAUCUUCUAUGCAGGCUCAGAAAGCAGAGAGGGAUGCUACAGAUUUAUAAACUUAGAGUUUGGUGAAAAGGUAAAACAUGAAUUGAAGUUUUAAUUGUAGUUUAUGUGACUUCAAAGUUGAUGAAAUAAUAUAUUGGUCUAUUAUCUCUCGUCUUUUGCAGUGGGAGAAGGGAAAUAGCACAUACACCCAACAACAACUUGAUGAACUGAGAAAUGAAUGGGUAGAAUUUGUGAGUCAUCGCAUGUACUAGCUAUAUAUGUAGUUACCUAGUCACUAUUUUGUGAAUUUUGGCUAUAAAUAGUUAGCCCUAGUCACUAUUUUGUGAAUUUUGGCUAUCGAUAGUUAGCCUACCUAUAUGUAGUCAUCAUGGAGUAACACUAUAUGUUGUAUAAAUGUGGUAGGGUUUUGAACUAUGACAGAAUUGUUAAAGUAAGAUGUAUCUUAAGCUUUUAUGAAAAAUGCAGGUUUUUGAGUAUGAAUAGUCCAUUUGGACCUCAAUAUCCAGGUUGUAUGUAAACAUGGGUGGGUUUCUUGUUCCACAGAGGUAUAAAAUCAUCUUCCCAAUAUGCAAAUCCAAAAUAAAACUACGAUUUACCUUAAAAUAGCAACGUAGAAAUAAGUGUAAGUAGAAAUAAGGAUGACACGUCAAAUUUAUUUUUAAAAUAUAGACGUAGUAAGUCUAGAACUACGUCCAUUUUUAUUAUCAAUUUGACAUUGUAAGAUUCAUACUACGUCUACGACACAUACCACAUCGCUUCUCAAGUAAUACUUGACGUAGCUGUUAUUCAAAAACGUCUAUUUUAUUUUAAAAAAGUGACGUGGGAUAAUACUUCCUAUGACGCUUUUUAAGAUAUAGGGACAUAGAAUGUUGUUUUAAGCAUCGAUUUUUCUUCUAAUGGAACUCGAACGAAGUUGCCUUUGGACAAAAAACGACGUGGAUUAAUAUAUUGCACGGUGGUGAAUCACCGUCGUGGUUAAGGUUUUUAAACCAUGUCGGUAGAGUAGACAUUGCUUUUUCACCUUGAACCACGACGGUUUUCCACCGUCAUUGUUUUCAAUUUUUGGCAUAGUGUAUAUUGCCUCGAUCGUCAUCGUAUCGAUUAGUAACACCAAAAAUACAUCAAGAACUUAUAGGAGAAUAUUAACCUAGCUAUAUUUCAGAGUCAGAAGAUAAUCUAAUUGCUUUUGUUGUUAUAUGCCCUUUUCUUUCACAUAUAACAACUAGCUAAGGCAAUAUCUAAUAUUUAUGAGACUUGCUAUAAUCCUAUCAUCAUGCUCUAACAGAAUCUAAGUUUAUUUUUUUUUUUCUCAUGAAACUUACAAAAGCUUGAGAUCUCUAAACACACCAUUCCACCUAAUCCAUCUCAUACAAUUUGAACAAAAGUAUAUGUGGGUUGAUUAACCAUAUAUAGUCAUAUAAUAAGAAUAUAUGCAUGCAUAAAAAAGAAGUGUCAAUAGGAAUGUAAAAAAAAAAUUUGAUGACUAGCUAGGAUUGUAUUGGAUUGGAAAAGUCAUUAAUCUAAGAUAUGUUGUUAAAGGAGGAAAUGAAGGUCGGUGAAUGAUUUUUCAUUUUGGGGGCGAUUAGGAAGGAUAAUUUAUAAAAUGUUGCUAUCCUACCAUUUUGUGGGGAUUAUGGGAUAAGUUUUCUUCAUUUUUUUUAAAUUUUUUUUUAGGACCUUUCCUAUUGAAAGGGACGAUAAUUAACAUAUUAAACUUACACACACUACAUGGAUGUUAGGACUCGAACCCAAGACCUUUUUUGUGAUCCAAACCACUACUAGUGGGUCCUUUACAAAUAAGUUUUCUUCAUGAGUAAUCUAUUUUUUACCUUCAACAUGACCAUGGGUUUUUCAUUUCUUCCUAUAAGACCAUCCACAAUGGUAAGGUGUAUAUUGAGGUGUAUGUCAAAUAUACACAUUUGGUUGCCGGAAUGUCCUGCAAUGGGGAGGUAUAUAUGGCUAUAAAUGUACAUCACAACCAUGAGAUGAGAAAAAAAGAUACAAAAAUGUACAUCUAAUUUUACACCCAGCCAAGUUGGUCCCGUAACAUAAAAGCCAAGAGAGAAGAGAGAGGAAAGCUAAAAGAUGGGGAAGUUAUUAAAAUGGUAGGCUCAUGGCGUGGAAGUUCUUCUCCAACAAAUCUCUAAUAUAUGGCCAUAUUUCAUUCAAAUUGAAAUAUGAAACUAAUAAUUGCACUGAUCAAUGGUGAAGAAUAAAUUCAUAUCAAAACUGACGAUUCAUAUUAAUUUUAUUUACAUCAUAUUGAAUGAAAUUAUAUCUUAUCAGAAUUUUAAAAUUUUUAAGUCGAUUUGUUCAGAAAAAAUAAUUAAACCUAACACACACAAAAUUAACCCCAAAAUAUUAACAUUAAAAAAAAAUUUGACACAAAAAUUGAAUUAAUACAAGAAAAUCGGAUUUACAUCUUUGAAUCUGCAUCCAACUCAUUGGAGCAAAAAUGAUAUUUGCAUCUCCUGAAGGUGUAAAGGAGAUGUAAAAGUGGCUUUACACCUCCCCAUUGUAGAUGCUCUAACAUACUUAAAAUAUAGGAAGUUAUCAUAUCCAACCCUCGCUAGACAUCAAAUGAGCCCAAAAUUUCACCCAAAAAGAAAUUGGUAUACAUAUAUAUAGUGAUUUCCAAAGAAAAAUUUGAAUACGUUGGGUUCAAUCUCCAAAAUACAAACCACAAUGAAUAUUUUAGAAAAAGGGGUACGUAAUAUCCAGCGUGGCAGACGAGCUGGAGGUGACAGUGGAGCCUGAGAGCGUGCAUGGACUGUUGAUCCCACAUACCGAAUGCGCAGCGCAGGCACUUGCCAUGAGCCUAGCAUACGUCGACAGACCUACAUCCCACUAGGAAAAACGUAUGGAGGGCAGCCCUGCCAUGUCAUCGCUCCCUCCUGUUAGCGCCAAAUUUCGUUGCCCUUUUCAUGUCAACGUGUCCAAUAUCAAGAUCUCAAACAAAUUACAGAGAUCGCAGAAGAAAGCAACAUGUCUGUUGGAAAGGAUAUGGAAUAAGAAUUUGCAUAUGCCAAUAUGAUGAUAUUAUCCCUUUCCCUAUUAUAAAUAUGCAGACAUGUACUGGUGCAGUCUGCAACUAGCUUCCGCAUACACACUGCAUGCUUAUUUAAUUUCUUUGGUCAAUUUCUUAGGUAAGCAGGUCCUUUUUCUUUUUCUUUUUUCUAUAUAAACCCUAUUUUAUAUAUGUCAGUUGCAAUGGUGAGUGUCAAUAGCAAACAGUUACUUGCUGCUUCCAAGUUGGUUUUUAAAAAGGAGGAGCUGUCCAAGACACAGUUUCAUGUUCACCGGAAGAAUGAUUGGGAUGAUGAUGACGACGACGACGACGAUGAUGCGGGCAGUGUUGCACCAGCCGCAUAGCUAUAUAUAUGUUUAUUGGCAUUGAGAGAAUUUGAGGCACUUCCCAGCCUCCUAGGAGUGAGCUUUGACACACUAGUUGAACAAUGUUGUGCUUUGGCACUAGUUGUCUCAGUUAAAGAUUGUUUUUUGUUUUUAAGGAGUUUCAAAUCGAGUACUAUUAGAACAAAAGAGAAAAACAAGUUUCUCGACUCCCUCUGCUAGCUUGUCUUGUUUUUAAUAGUACGUUGACUGAAUAUUAAUCUAAGCUUAAAGUUCAUUACAAAAUCCGAAGUUAUCUGCUUGUCUUGUUUUUUAAGUUUUUAAUGUAUAGGGCCACCAAUAUAAUAAACCACUUCAUUUUGAAAGGCCGAAUAACCAUGCAUAUUCUGAGUCUGUGAGGCAAG
rnacentral:lncRNA from 1 species